AGGUACUCCGACUACGCAUACACAGCAGGCGGGACCCUCUCAGGGUCAAGCAGCGUGGGACUACUUCCAGUAGUUGACUGAGCUCCGCAGCAGAGCCGGAUCGUGAGCUUCCGAGCCUUGAGUCAUCGUAGGACUCUUUCUUCCUGUUAUUUCCUUUGUACUCUGUUUUGUCGAAAUUGAAGUUCUUAGACAUGCUCUGUUAUCGCCCCUGUUAGGGUUUGAAUUGUGAGGCCGGAGGCCAUUUUGUUGUAAACUGUUUAUUCGCUGUAAAGCAUGCUGCUAGUUGGGAUUAUUCUGUAUUUUUAUGCAGGUU